rfam:Octopus bimaculoides Scaffold4884_contig_209, whole genome shotgun sequence.
GAACAUAGCUUCGGCAGUACAUAUACUAAGAUUGAAACGAUACAGAAAAGAUCAGUUUGGUUACUGCACAAGGAUGACAUGCAAAUUCGUGAAGUGUUCCAUAUUUUG